CCUGAGAUCAUGACCUGAGCCAAAGGCAGACGCUCAACCAUCUGAGCCACCCAGGCGCCCUCCAGUACUUUUGUUAAAUAAAUCUUCCCCAGCCCCUUAUACCCUGGUUUGUGUGAUGCCUGCCUUAUUAUAUAUUAAGUUAUUUUACCAGGGUGUCUUUCUGGACUGUCUGUCUGAUUUCAUUGAUCUGUCUGUCCUUAUGCCAGCACCACACAUUUGUAAUUAAUGCCAUUUUACUUAUUCUUGUCUCCUAGACCACAUUAACAGAAAUCAAAAUGAAAGAAAAAAUUCACUUAUGAGCUUACUACACUACAAAAAUCAAACUCUUGUUCUUUGGUUCUACAGGUAUUCUAUACCCCUCAUUCAUUAAGCUCUGCUGGUAUAAGGAGGACAAGGCACACUGAGGAAUCAAUACUGGAAAAGGGUCUCUGGAUACAUAGCAACAGCCUCACACAUUGGAUCAGUGAUUCUUUGCAGUAUACCGCUGACCAGGUGGUUUAGGCAACUCUGUAUUCUUGGGUGUGAUUUUGCAAAUAAAAUGUUUACCAUUUCCACUGUA